rnacentral:lncRNA from 1 species
GAGAGAGAGAGAGGACAAACUAGUUUUAGGGCCAGCAGGGUGGUUCCACAAAGCUUGAAUCUUUGAUGCUGCCAUAAAGUGUUGCCCUAUUUCUUUCUUCUCCUCCUUACGUCCACUCCCAGCCCUCUCCUGCAUGCAAGACAAACAUGCCAAGCUGAACCAAAUAAUCCUCGUUAUUUCUAUGGAAUGGUAGUAUUUCUAAUCUCAGCACAUUUCUCUUAUCACGUUGUCCAUGUUUUCUAAUGAUCAAAGACAAAAACAAAUACUCCUUCGUUCUAGUUGUCGGUAUUCUCCUCAAACCCUGAACAUAGCCACUCUCAAUCUGGCUACUCUCGAGCUUUGUGAUACUUUGAUAUGCUAUUCUAAUUUUAAUGACAAACAUGCUAUCCUACAAAAUGACAAUAAUUCUCAAUCUUGUAUGAGUGAUAAUUUGAGCUAUUUUCAUCCUACAAAAUGCAUCUAAAACUAUAAAAAUAGCUUGCAAAUUAAUCUUCCUCUCACCUGAGCCAGCCAAUCUGCUCUUCCCUGUCAGGCACCAAAUCACCAGAGCUGCAUCAGAUGCCAUCCACAUUUCAAUGCCACAUAGACCACAAUACUAUUUCUUAACAUCAUGAUUUCAAAAGUGAUAUCAUCCAGGGCGAUCAUGCUCAAGCCAAAUCUAAUCAUGAUGAAUUAAUCAAAAUUGCGUUGGUUUACUUUGGGCCUCAGUAUCUUCAGCAGCAGAGAAAAGGUAAAUCAGGGAAACAAUGGCAAGCCAUUACCAUUUUGUGAGGAGCUCCUUUACAACUUGAUGAAAAUAGAGCUCAACCUGCUUACAGACUUGGUCCUAUUCUGGUUCAUGUCCCAAAGCUCGACAUGGUAAAUAUUGUCAGCAACUAACCACAUUUCGAUGGUUCCUGAUGAAUUAAGCACAAUGUCAACACACUCUGGUGGUAUACGAGUCCCAAAACAUACUAGCAUUCAGAGCCCUUUUUUCUCCUUUGUUGGCAAAAAUAAUUGGAGCCAGUUAACUUGAUUGUUCUCCCUUCGAACCUAGCAUGAUAGUGGCAGAGCCUGUGGAU